rnacentral:rRNA from 1 species
AGUCGAGCGCGCCCUUCGGGGUGAGCGGCGGACGGGUGAGUAACGCGUGGGAAUAUGCCCUUCUCUAAGGAAUAGCCUCUGGAAACGGAGAGUAAUACCUUAUACGCCCUUUGGGGGAAAGAUUUAUCGGAGAAGGAUUAGCCCGCGUUAGAUUAGGUAGUUGGUGGGGUAAUGGCCUACCAAGCCUACGAUCUAUAGCUGGUUUGAGAGGAUGAUCAGCCACACUGGGACUGAGACACGGCCCAGACUCCUACGGGAGGCAGCAGUAGGGAAUCUUAGACAAUGGGGGGAACCCUGAUCUAGCCAUGCCGCGUGUGUGAUGAAGGCCCUAGGGUCGUAAAGCACUUUCGCCAGAGAUGAUAAUGACAGUAUCUGGUAAAGAAACCCCGGCUAACUCCGUGCCAGCAGCCGCGGUAAUACGGAGGGGGUUAGCGUUGUUCGGAAUUACUGGGCGUAAAGCGCACGUAGGCGGAUUAGUAAGUUAGAGGUGAAAUCCCAGGGCUCAACCCUGGAACUGCCUUUAAUACUGCUAGUCUUGAGUUCGAGAGAGGUAAGUGGAAUUCCGAGUGUAGAGGUGAAAUUCGUAGAUAUUCGGAGGAACACCAGUGGCGAAGGCGGCUUACUGGCUCGAUACUGACGCUGAGGUGCGAAAGUGUGGGGAGCAAACAGGAUUAGAUACCCUGGUAGUCCACACCGUAAACGAUGAAUGCCAGACGUCAGCAAGUAUACUUGUUGGUGUCACACCUAACGGAUUAAGCAUUCCGCCUGGGGAGUACGGUCGCAAGAUUAAAACUCAAAGGAAUUGACGGGGGCCCCGCACAGCGGUGGAGCAUGUGGU